CAUGCAAUACACGUUUUCUUUUCCCUUGGAUACUCAUCCCCAUAACAUCUCCUAGGCUUCUCCCCAAAUUCCCUUUCUCACCGACCCCUCCUAUAAUGAUUUGGCGCAUAUCGUAUCCUCAUAAUAUGCCUCAACUCAUCCCAAGUUUCAAUACGUCUCUCACCAUAGCUUCGCCUAGAUAUCAUAAACUCAUCCCACCAAGUUAU
rnacentral:lncRNA from 1 species